rnacentral:rRNA from 1 species
UACGUAGGUGACAAGCGUUAUCCGGAAUUACUGGGCGUAAAGCGCACGCAGGCGGCCGAGUAAGUCUGACGUGAAAUCUCCCGGCUUAACCGGGAGCGGUCGUUGGAAACUACUUGGCUUGAGGCGAUGAGAGGGGUGUGGAAUUCCCGGUAUAGUGGUGGAAUGCGUAGAUAUCGGGAGGAACAUCAGUGGCGAAAGCGGCACCCUGGCAUUAGCCUGACGCUCAGGUGCGAAAGCGUGGGGAGCGAACGGG